AAAAACAAAACUUUUGAAUCUUAGUAGGCUGAAUAAAUUUACAUUUCUUUUGGGUUUGUGAUAUGUCGGUUUUUGAGCACUCAGUCCUCAACCGGAUAACAUAUUUUAAACAAAAUUAAGUUACAAGAAAGGAACAAAUUGUUUAAGAGUGUGAUAGGAACAAAAAAUUGUUUAAAUAUGAGUGAAAAAUACAACAAUCUAGUCAUUGAAGUUCGCAAGUGAUUGGAUUGUCGCGAAAAGUUUGAGGAUGGAGGCAGCCUCAGAACUACUCUUGUCGGUGCAUUGGCUCUGAUGGUAAGGAAGGCUUAAUGCCUACUAAAAAUAAAUGCAUGUAAAAUGCAAACCACCAAGGCCGAGCACAGUCAAUGCUGCACUUUUGACAUGCAAAUCAAAGCCAGAAAAAACAUCCCAUUAUUGAGCCUUUGGAGAAGGUAUUGUAAAGUCCGGCUAAGCGGUGGCAACAUGAGCUCGCAGCGGUGUUGGUAACGAUACAAUCGGAUACGAACCCGUCAGAGCAAUCUGGACACAAGUUACAACACAUUUUGGAAGAAUCCAGCUGAGUUAGGAGUCAGGAACAGCGCCCUGCCAACAGUCAAACUGGAACUCAACGCCCCAAAAGCUUUUGGCUGAACCGGUCCAAAGCCCCUUCACGAAUUGUGUCGUAAGUCGGUUAAGCGCGUAGAUGGACAUCCAAUUACGUGUCCUGAGUGCUCUGCCGGGUUCGCUCCCGAUCGUAUCGUUGCUGAUUCUCCUGCUAAAUAGCUUUGAUGAUGGCACCUCAAAGCCAGCUGCCACGAGCCAAACUCCAUGGCUCAAUGAUCGUAUCUGUUUUCUGUAACUUUAAGUUGAAAGAAAUCAAAUAUAUUGUUACAUUGUUUUGCAUCGUAAAAUAUA